CCGCUGCCGCCAUGGGAGAGGACGGCGCUGGGGGGCGGCCGUUAGAAGCGGGCGCGGAAGGCGGGAAGUGACGUCGCGCGCGGCCCCCGGGAUCGCUGUGUGGAGCGCCGCCUCACCAUCCCCGCCGCCAUCUUGGGGAGGGGGAGCUGAGAGGCGGCUCCCAUCUUGGGACCACUCCCCCCACACCGCGUGCUUUCAUUCUCGUUUAGCUGUUAGUGGUUUUUGAGACAGACGGAGGUGUAGUUCGGCGAUGUUUUCUGCCGCAGCUGGUGCAGGGAACGCAGCUCGUUUUUUUUGCUUCCGUGCUGCCUGUGUCCGAGGAUGUACGCAGGCAGAGGAGGCGGUAGGGGGUACGACUUUAGCAGCCCCGAAGGCACGUGUGGAGUUUAAAAGCACCUUCUCCCAUCCUGCUUGUUCAGCCGUGACCAGUGUCGAAGGAAAAAAGGCUCUGACUGGCAAGUGCCUUCGACUCUCACGUAGCAACUAAGUUUGGCAGCUCAAGAUGCCAAAACAGAAAUCACAAUUUCUACUUUUUUUUUAAUGGUGCCAAAAUGGGAGCUGCUGGAUAUUCAGCUGCUGGAGAAAUGGAGCUUACUCUCCACUCUGGACAACCUGGGAAAAUGCUGAAUGCCCUAAGACUGCACCCAGCUUCCCUUCUGGAGGAAACCAAGACCCACAUCUACAAAAUGCAACUUCAUCUCUCAAGGUUUUCCUCCUGCACAUAGGAAUGCACUCUACCUCACCCAACAGGUACUUGAUUUCUUUCAGUUAAUUAAAGACUCGGUUUAAAACAGAUAAUUCGCCCACCCCCUACUCAGAAGAAACAGAGAUUUUCUUUCUUUCCCCACAUAUCUCUCUGAAGUUAGCAAAUGUUAAGCUGUGGGUAGGACAGGAUUAGGUGCUGUACUAAAUGUGACAGUCUUGCAAACCUCAGAAGAGGCUAUCUCCCACUUGCUGGCCCUUUGCAAUAGGACUUCUGGGGGUGUAGGCCUUCAGUGUGACUUUCUUGAGGAAUCUGGUUCAAUACCAAAGCUGAUAAGAGUGCAAAGCUAGCUUAGCUUGUCCUGGUACAUCGGUCUUUCCUCUUAUAGCUUUUAUAGCUUAGGCUCCUGAACACCUUCAGAAACUGGUACAUAAACUGAGGUUGAAUUUGGCCAGCAAAGUCAAGCCUUGCAGUUGUAGUUCACGACUAUAGCAAAUGGUGUGACCUGUCCAUGUAGAGCAUUUAGCUUGUUUAUCUGUAGCUUGGAUUAAGUCAAAUGAACCAGGCAACACUAGUGUAUACUGCUAAUGUACAAGAAGGACAUUAGUUUGCGAGUUGUUGGGGUUUUUUUUAAUAUUAAAGUUUUUUUUAUAGGGAAAGGACUGUAUUUUUGUGCUAUGCCUGUAUAGCCUGCAUGUAGGCACUGAGCAAAUAAUAUACAAUAAGUGGUACAGACACAAGCUAUUCUGGCAAAAUGUAGCCAGUGGGGACCUAAGCUUAGCAGCUAGAUUGUCAGCACUACACAGUACCACAUCCACACGAGGAGUUGCAGCUGUGGUUCCAACACAGCCUCUCAUAGGAACCAGCUCAUGGGGAGACAAAAGUAUAGAAGUGUAAUUGAAUUUUAAAAACUCCCAGCUUUUUCAAAAGAGGGAGCUUAGAUCACCCUGUGGAGAAAUCUAGCAUUCACUUACUUCAGUCCAACUGAACAACUGAGAGAAUUGCUGAAAAGGGUCUUCCAGCUCUACAUGGAAAGAAUCCUAUUUUCAAAAGUCCUCAGCAUCUACCAACUGCUAUAAAUUUGACUGAAAAUCGUCAAAUACUCGACAACGUUGAGAAUCCAGUUACUUUCUAUACAAAAUGUGAAUGCUGGGCUCUAACAGUCUUUCGAAAUGUAUGGCCAAGGAGCCUGAGCGCGUCUCCGUAUAAAAAAUAUAUAAUUAUUUGAGUUACCCAGGGCUAAAUGGAAUCAGAAAUUGCUGAGGCAUAAGUAUCACUGUAAUGUAAAUACAUUCACCACUUAAUCCUGAUAAAUACUGGAUUGUAGACUUCAGAACACAGACUGACAAUUAUUGGAAAUCCUGUGGUCAUCUCAAGUAUGUCAUCUCAAGCAUACAAUAUUUCAGUUAAAAUAAAACCAUAAAAUCCUUUUUCUUUUUUAAAAGUACCAUCUAGCAUAUAAUUUAUUUGGAUGAACUCUACAAAUAUGUGCAUUAUAUCACGCUAGAAGAACUUGAGAACCACUUUUUUCUUGUUCCCAAGGUCACUCAGCUAUUGGUAAUGUACUACAGUCAUAAUGAUAGAAUCAGUUUACAGUUGCAAGUUCUGCCAAAUAUCUCACAAUUACAUUUUGCAAGCAACACUGCCUCUGUUUCACAGAGAUAGCAGUGUGGUGUUUUGUUCAUGUGGUACCAAAGAAAAAUAUUGUUUUAGGGUUGUGACAGAAUUUCAAAAAGUUUUUGUGGUAUUCUAAACUUCUGAUACGCUUAAUAAUUACCACUCCGUUAAGUACAGAGUGGCACGGGCUUUGAAAGUAUCCCUCAAAAAACAAAAAAGAAUCAUAGAAUCAUGGAGGUUGGAAAAGACUAUCUGUACGAUCAUCUAGUCCAACCAUCCACCUACCACGAAUACUUCCCAAUAAGCCAUGUCCCAAAGUGCUGCAUCUUCGCUUUCCUUAAACGCCUCCAGGGACGGUGACUCUCCCACUCCCCUGCACAGCCUCUUCCAGUGCCAAAGCAGGGAAGGCUCUGUUCAGUUAAACCAAGUGUGCCCACUUUACGUCUUCAGCAUUUAUGCAGACAUACAUAGCAGCUGAUAUUUAUAUGUGCACCAUAUGUUUUACAUCUAGUGGUGUCAAAUAUACAGAUGAAUUGCUGUAAAGGCUGCUUACCUGGGUUCAGGAUUAUAGGACUGCUUUUAGGAUGCAAUCUGAAACCCAUGGCACAUAAAUUGAAACACACUCCAUCAAACUUCAGUCACCUAGGAGUUUGGGGGGAAAAAACAAAAACAUAGAAUCAUAGAAUAUCCAAGUUAGGAGGUGCCCAUAAGGAUCAAGUCCAACUCCUUGCUCCACACAGAACCAAAGCAAACAAACAAAACCAAUAAACACUUGACAAUGUCUUGAUACUGACUGCUAAGGUGGUUUGGAGAAACUUCCUGCAAGAGAAGAGCACCAGCAGCAGUCCUGCUCCUUCUGGAGCCUGCAUCUGUGUGACCAGUUACUUUGGCAAGACUUUUGGCAUAGAGGAACGGGGAUACAAUAGGAAGGCUGGCAGUAACCAUCUCAGGUGUUCAGGAGAAGCAGUUUGUGGGAAAAGACAAGGAAUGUGGGUGCCUUGAUUUGAGCUUGGGAUGAGAGCAGUGUUGUUGAACAGAGCAGAGCUGUGGCAGUAGGCAUGGCAGGAGAAGUCAUGAUCACUGUCCUAAGGCCAGCCAGAGCAUGGAUUAGAAGAGAGGAGCUUGCAGGUUUUUCACUGUAAAAAAGGCCUGUUCCUGCUCCUCAUCCUCUGUGUUUUCCAUCAGAUAAAAAAUACUGCUUAUAGAGAGGCAAAAAGCCCCUUGAAUGUUUACCAUGACUGUCAUUGAUGGUGAAAACCGGAACGGCCAGCAGAUUGAAUUAGAAAGAAUGGAGGCAAAUGCACAUAGGGCUGAGCUGCCUCUUCCCCUUCCGUGAAGCCUCAGCUAGGUUCCAGUAAGGGAAAAGGAGCUGGAAACGAAGGAAGGAUAGGGUUCAUACUAUCUUGAGAUUGUGGAAGGGGUUUAAUUGGGAAGAACAGAAAGAGGGUGCAGACUCCUCUAAGUUUCUUGAAAGGCUGGAAGGAGGUGACACUCAGCCUUGGCUGAGCUUGGACCAGGCUGAGGCCAAAAGGGAUGGUAACGAAUGCAAGUAAAACAAGCAAGUUAUAGAGGAGGUGGUACCUUCAUUUGUCAUGGUGGCUCUUCUGAGAGCUCUUGCAUCUGCCUUGUUACUACAGACUUGCUAAGGCAAACACCAUGCCAUCUUUCAGGGGUAUAUUGCUAUUAGUUAGAAAAGCAGGAUCCCAAGGUCCCCCACGGCCAGAUCCUGGCUAUGUUUGAGCACGAGAGACUGCAGCUGCUAAUAAGUAAAGCUAAAUUGACCUUCAUGCUGCCAUCUAGUGUUCCCUUGUAGACAGAAACAACAUUCCCCAAAGAAACACUGUAAAGCUCCACUAAUGCUCUGUUCAGAAGAAAUGUAAUUUAUUCUUGCUGAAAUACAAGGCUGGACAACACAGAAGCUGAGUAGGAGGGAACGGGGAAGAGGCAUGUGAAGGACACAGUGUUAAGGCAGAAUGUUAGGGAGACACCAUUGUUUUUUAAUUUGUAACUGUUUCACCCAGCAAUAGAGACAUCUCCAAGGCAAGAUUCAGAACCAGAAUUUGUCCCCAUUUAUUUUUCACUCUUUGAAAUUCAUAUGGCUGCAUGCAAGGUGCAGUAGUACACAGCAGAGCAAGAAUCCAAGCAGCAAGAGACCAGCAUGAGAAGCUUGGCAGAUUCUUCUUGACUGUCCUUGCUACUGCCAUAAAAGACAAACGGUGUGUUUACUUCACAGACAUCAGAUGCUGAUUUUCCUUCCAAGUAUACAGAAGGGCUAACAAAAA